GUAGGUGGCAAGCGUUGUCCGGAAUUAUUGGGCGUAAAGCGCGCGCAGGCGGUUCUUUAAGUCUGAUGUGAAAGCCCACGGCUCAACCGUGGAGGGUCAUUGGAAACUGGAGAACUUGAGUACAGAAGAGGAAAGCGGAAAUCCACGUGUAGCGGUGAAAUGCGUAGAGAUGUGGAGGAACACCAGUGGCGAAGGCGGCUUUCUGGUCUGUAACUGACGCUGAGGCGCGAAAGCGUGGGGAGCAAACAGGAUUAGAUACCCUGGUAGUCCACGCCGUAAACGAUGAGUGCUAAGUGUUAGGGGGUUUCCGCCCCCCUUAGUGCUGCAGCUAACGCAUUAAGCACUCCGCCUGGGAGUACGGCCGCAAGGCUG
rnacentral:rRNA from 1 species